CCACAUCACUCAAACACAUUGGGGGCAAAACAACAACUAGAUUCAGAGUUAUUCCCCCUUGCUCCAGCCUUCUCCAUACCAAUCCCCACCUCUAGGAGCAGGAACUGGGGCGGACACCCCUUCCAGGCACACGCACUGGUUUCCUCCCCCAACAAAUUGAAGCUGUAAAUAUCGAUAGCCUUCUCUUGCAGGGCUUUUUAAUGCCCUCCCAUACUUAGGAACUAUUAAGCGCACCCAUCAUUACUAACCUGCGAAGUAAAUGCGUCCUAAUGGGCAGGCGAGCUACGCUGGCCCCAACAAAUCAUUGCUAAUGAAUAGUACCUGGCACAUCCAUCACCCUUAAACGCCAAAGCAAAUCCAUCUGCGUUAGCCGCUGAAAAGAGCCAGGCGGAUCUCGCCCUCCCUUUCUUCCCAAGGAAGGGCCUGAGGAAGAAAGUUGCUGGAGCAGGAAGCUGAGGGAGCCAUCCCGGCGGGGCGAGGUGCUCUCACCUUGCGGAACGCGGGGAUUGCGACACCCCGAGCAGCGGAGAGAAGACGCUCCCAGUGUCAGCAGCUCUCCAGAAGUCUCGAGAGGCAGAGGGAUCCAACCGGCACGGCAGCAGCUUCCCUGAUGCUCUCUUAUUUAUUUCCUCCUCUAUUUAUUUGGAAAAUUGCACAUUUGAUGGCGUUUUCUUUAUUGGAAGAAGUUCCCGAGCUUUGCUGUCCCCUGUCACAGCUGCCCAGUGCGGGGGCUGUGGGAGGGGAGGGUGGCACAUCAAACAGCUCGGGAGGGAUGGAGUGAUGGAUGGAGGCUGCCCUGUGAUUAAUAAUCAAACC
rnacentral:lncRNA from 1 species